rnacentral:rRNA from 1 species
UGGGGAAUAUUGCACAAUGGGCGCAAGCCUGAUGCAGCCAUGCCGCGUGUAUGAAGAAGGCCUUCGGGUUGUAAAGUACUUUCAGUCGGGAGGAAGGUGUCAAGGUUAAUAACCUUGGCAAUUGACGUUACCGACAGAAGAAGCACCGGCUAACUCCGUGCCAGCAGCCGCGGUAAUACGGAGGGUGCAAGCGUUAAUCGGAAUUACUGGGCGUAAAGCGCACGCAGGCGGUUGAUUGAGUCAGAUGUGAAAUCCCCGGGCUUAACCCGGGAAGUGCAUCUGAUACUGGUCAGCUAGAGUCUUGGAGAGGGGGGUAGAAUUCCAUGUGUAGCGGUGAAAUGCGUAGAGAUGUGGAGGAAUACCGGUGGCGAAGGCGGCCCCCUGGACAAAGACUGACGCUCAGGUGCGAAAGCGUGGGGAGCAAACAGG